rnacentral:rRNA from 1 species
GUUGUGUGUUGUCUUGAAGGGCGUAUGGUGGAUGCCUUGGCAGGCAGGACCGAUGAAGGACGCGACGGGCCGCGAUAGGCCUCGGGGAGCCGCCGAGUGGGCUUUGAUCCGAGGGUUUCCGAAUGGGGCAACCCACCGGCAGUAAUGGGCCGGUACCGCGUUUCGGCGCGGGGGGUACGCAGGGAAGUGAAACAUCUCAGUACCUGCAGGAGAGGAUACUCCGUGAGUAGUGGCGAGCGAAAGCGGAUCAGGCUAAACCUCAUGCGUGUGAUACCCGUCGGGGGUUGCGUGUGGGGUGUUGUUGGGAUCGCGUGCGCCGGCUCCGACGGGCCGGCCGGUGGUGAUAAAGGCGUGUGCGAGGGGAACCGGGUUGAAUACCGGGCCGUAGAGGGUGAGGGCCCCGUACCCGUAGGCGCAUGUCCCGCCGAUCG